UGGGGAAUAUUGCACAAUGGGCGAAAGCCUGAUGCAGCAACGCCGCGUGAGCGAUGAAGGCCUUUGGGUCGUAAAGCUCUGUCCUAGGGGAAGAAUAAAUGACGGUACCCUUGGAGGAAGCCCCGGCUGACUACGUGCCAGCAGCCGCGGUAAUACGUAGGGGGCAAGCGUUAUCCGGAAUUAUUGGGCGUAAAGAGUGCGUAGGUGGUUUUGUAAGCGCGGGGUGAAAGGCAAUAGCUCAACUAUUGUAAGCCCUGCGAACUGUGAGACUUGAGUGCAGGAGAGGAAAGCGGAAUUCCUAGUGUAGCGGUGAAAUGCGUAGAUAUUACUUAGAACACCAAUUGCGAAGGCAGGUUACCAAGAUAUAACUGACGCUGAGGGACGAAAGCGUGGGGAGCGAACA
rnacentral:rRNA from 1 species